GGUAGCGUGGCCGAGCGGUCUAAGGCGCUGGUUUUAGGCACCAGUCAUUUCGAUGGCGUGGGUUUCGAAUCCCACCCGCUGCCA
rnacentral:tRNA from 1 species